GCGGACGGGUGAGUAGCACGUGGGAACGUGCCCUUUGGUUCGGAACAACUCAGGGAAACUUGAGCUAAUACCGGAUGUGCCCUUCGGGGGAAAGAUUUAUCGCCAUUGGAGCGGCCCGCGUCUGAUUAGCUAGUUGGUGAGGUAAAGGCUCACCAAGGCGACGAUCAGUAGCUGGUCUGAGAGGAUGAUCAGCCACAUUGGGACUGAGACACGGCCCAAACUCCUACGGGAGGCAGCAGUGGGGAAUCUUGCGCAAUGGGCGAAAGCCUGACGCAGCCAUGCCGCGUGAAUGAUGAAGGUCUUAGGAUUGUAAAAUUCUUUCACCGGGGACGAUAAUGACGGUACCCGGAGAAGAAGCCCCGGCUAACUUCGUGCCAGCAGCCGCGGUAAUACGAAGGGGGCUAGCGUUGCUCGGAAUUACUGGGCGUAAAGGGAGCGUAGGCGGACUGUUAAGUUAGAGGUGAAAGCCCAGGGCUCAACCUUGGAAUUGCCUUUGAUACUGGCAGUCUUGAGUACGGAAGAGGUAUGUGGAACUCCGAGUGUAGAGGUGAAAUUCGUAGAUAUUCGGAAGAACACCAGUGGCGAAGGCGACAUACUGGUCCGUUACUGACGCUGAGGCUCGAAAGCGUGGGGAGCAAACAGGAUUAGAUACCCUGGUAGUCCACGCCGUAAACGAUGAGUGCUAGUUGUCGGCAUGCAUGCAUGUCGGUGACGCAGCUAACGCAUUAAGCACUCCGCCUGGGGAGUACGGUCGCAAGAUUAAAACUCAAAGGAAUUGACGGGGGCCCGCAC
rnacentral:rRNA from 1 species